AGAAUAUUGGGUUUUUUUCCGUAUAUAUUUUAUUUGGGUGUGGAAGUGAGAGGGAAUUGAAAGCGCCAUUUUCGCCAACAUCCUCUGAGCGCAUUGGGGGCUACUGGAGUGAGGGAGAGAGCAGUAGAGUGGGUGGUGGGGAGGGGGCUGGGCGUACAUGUGUUUGCUGCAUUUGUACUUGUAUCCAAGUGAGUUUUGUACUAUUUCUCUUUUUCAUUUUCGCUGUUUUUGUUCUCCAGUUGUUAGACAUUGUUGUUGUAGCCAUUGUUGUUGUUCGGCAUUCAGUGUUUGGAGCCUUCCCUUUUCAAAUUAAACAUUCAGUAGUCACUUUUAUUUGUUGUACUUUGUUCAAAUUAGUUUUCCAGUUUUGCGGAAGUUACCCACACACAGCCAAACACUCACUCACACACAGGCACACACACAGAUGCAUGGAAACAGACACAAAUACAAUAAGGGCCGCCAUCUUCGCAUUCAGGACAAUAUUGAUGUCGCUUCUUUCACUCUUGGCAUCGUUUUCAUUAUUCUAUUUUAGCUUUGCCACCCCCAAAUCCCCAUUUCCCAAUUCCUCCCCCCUUUUACCCAUUGUUACACUUACGAAUCAAUGAUUUUUUGGCCAGAUUUUUAGGGGCGUGGCAUCGGCCAUCGGUAUGUAUCUUUAUCCCGCUUAGUAGUGUUGGUAUUAUCAGGGGGCAUAAAUAGAAGGGUGUAUAUACUUACAUGGGGUCUUUUCCGCUCUGCCUGCUCCACAAUUUCGAGGCGGAAAAUUUAUUGAGGCUUUUCCUUGUCUUUUUAUGACCAAACAGAACAUUUCAUUGCUGCCAAAUGAAAUUGGUCGGACACAAAAUGUAAUCAAGUUUUUCGAAGCUCACGCUUAAAAUGUUUCGGAACUUUAUAAACAGUUUCCAUGGCAAUUAAACGAUUCCAACAAGGCACAUCCGACCCCGCCUCCUGCAGCCACUAUCCCGGGCCAAUCCGUGGUCACAGCCGUAUCCAUGUUCCCUGUCAGACUACGGUUAAUCGCCGCCUUAGCACGGCAGGAGUCCGGACGAAGGACUCGGGUGGCCAGUUGAGCGUAAGGAAGCGGUGCAUUGAAGCUUUCGCAGGGGAACAAUUAACUUAUGGGCAAACAAUAACGCCGAGGAAUGCACGCUGACAGGAACCAGCCACCAGGAGCACAUCCUGCUCAGCCUCACCGUCAGCUCCAUCUCCGGGCUAUAUAUAUCUACAUGAAUAUCCUUCGUCCUCAUCCCGCGCUGCAGCAACAGCGGCAUGAUCCAGCAAUAAUCCCUCUUUUGUCAGCAAAUUUAUUGCACACAAGCAAGCCGGCAAAGGAUAUGCCAAGCGGAUGAAACGGAGCGCUCGGUGGGCAGGAGGGGGAAGGACUGCGGAUACCGAUUCGGGAUUGGUCUCUGGCUUGGCUGAGCCCAGGCUUUGACAAUACAAAUUUUUAUUGCGAAAUCUGCAAAAGGCAAAUAAAAGAUUUGACACUUGAAUUGCUUUGACUGCAAGGAUUCGGCAAGGACAAUCGCCACUUUCGGCUCAAACAAAAGGACACAGUUGCUAGCCACCAUCGAGAUGGUCCGCCUUCAUUCUGCACUGGGAACAAAAAGAGGUCGUAAGAGAUCUAAUAUGCUUCAUUUGGUAUUCAAGUCAAAAUGGCUAAGGCAGCAUCUAAUUAUUAUUAUUUAUUAUUUUUUAUAUUAAUAUUAUAAUGCAUUAUCUGUAUAAAUCGAAAUUAUUAUAUAUUUCAGCA